rnacentral:rRNA from 1 species
UACGGGGGGAGCAAGCGUUGUUCGGAUUUACUGGGCGUAAAGGGCGCGUAGGCGGUCAGCACAAGUCAGUUGUGAAAUCUCCGGGCUUAACUCGGAAAGGUCAACUGAUACUGUGCGAACUAGAGUGCAGAAGGGGCAACUGGAAUUCUCGGUGUAGCGGUGAAAUGCGUAGAUAUCGAGAGGAACACCUGCGGCGAAGGCGGGUGCUGAGCUGACACUGACGCUGAGGCGCGAAAGCUAGGGGAGCAAACGGG